UCUCUAUGUAGUCAAUGGUUUUACUGUCCAUAAUCUUCUUUCCUUGUUGGUCAGUGACAUGAAAUACUAUUCAUAGGGGGAAAAGUGAGAAAAAGAUAAGGUUAAAAGAAAUAUUAACAUAAGGCUAUAACAAUGGUGCCUUCUUUUGAAUACUUAGUUAAUGUCCUAGUAUUUUAGAAUUAAACACAUCAAGAGAGGAUCAUUGUAGAUUUAUAAUAAAGUUAAAACAUAUAUUUUUGAAUUAGAAAAAAUAAAAAUUCUUAAGCAUAGAAAGAACACCAUCCCUUGCCUAAUCUUCAAGGAACAAGGAAAAUAGAAGCAUGUACAUACUGUCCAUAAACCAUCCUCCAUCUG
rnacentral:misc_RNA from 1 species